UACGAGGGGGGCGAGCGUUGUUCGGAAUUACUGGGCGUAAAGGGUCUGUAGGCGGUGCGGCAAGUCGGAAGUGAAAUCGCAGGGCUUAACUCUGCGGCUGCUUCCGAAACUGCCGUGCUCGAGUGUGAGAUAGGCGAGUGGAAUUGCAGGUGUAGCGGUGAAAUGCGUAGAUAUCUGCAGGAACAUCCGAGGCGAAAGCGGCUCGCUGGAUCACAACUGACGCUGAGAGACGAAAGCUAGGGGAGCAAACAGG
rnacentral:rRNA from 1 species